GCUUGGCUCCUGCAUCACUUAGUGUCCCUUGAGCAACAAGUGCUGUCGCCUGGCAGUGUGGAAAGUUAUUCGAGUAAAUACUGUUGAUGGAAGAGACUGCAUCAGGUGGCCCGAACUCCCGCUCCUGACCUUGCAGCCUCGCGGUAGUUUGCGGAUGCUCGGCCUUCACCUGGCAUGGUUGUUCUCCUCUAGAGGGUCCCUAAAAGACACAAACAUCAUGAGCCAUCAUGAGCCAGAGUCAGAACAGCAAUGAUGAAGCACACCUCAUCACUGCACACCAUAUGGCCUACCCCACCUGCCUAUUGAUGAAAGAGUCUAUGCCCAGAGUCUUCUUGUCUCCUGCCCCAAGCCAGACUGUCAGACUUUAGAACAUCAGUUUCACCUCCACAGUCUUGCAGGCUCCCAGCCACCUGCCAUCAAAGGAAGAAAGGGCCAGGCUGAAAUAUG